rnacentral:rRNA from 1 species
UACGGGGGGGGCUAGCGUUGUUCGGAAUUGCUGGGCGUAAAGGGCGCGUAGGCGGUCUGCUAAGUUGGAUGUGAAAACUCUGGGCUUAACCCAGAGCCUGCAUUCAAUACUGACAGGCUAGAGUUCGGUAGGGGAGACUGGAAUUCCUGGUGUAGCGGUGAAAUGCGCAGAUAUCAGGAGGAACACCGGUGGCGAAGGCGGGUCUCUGGGCCGAUACUGACGCUGAGGAGCGAAAGCGUGGGGAGCGAACAGG